UUUUCAUAGUAUAAUAAGAAGUAAAAUGAAAAUAAAAAAUAGUGGUGUCAAAAACAGAAAGGACAACAGCCUCAAGAAAAUGCAAAGCAUAAACAUGAGAUCAGAAACUAAGAAUCAUUCCUGGAGAGGAUUGUUUUUUCUUGAAUUCUCCUUUGAAUCCUUUUCCUUCCUCUCCUUCUUUUCCUACUUUUUCCUCUGCUGUUAUUCAUUGGAAACUCAUACGUCAUACGUGCAUCUACUGGUAUAAUAUGAUCUUUUCUUAGGAUUCUUUUUUUUUUUCUAAUAAUUUUGUUGUCCGGCCAGCUUUUGAAUCGUGAGUAAUUCCACGGAAUAUCUAUCAUCUCCCAUCAGCAACAUUAGUCCACUCAAGAAAUGGCUGAACAACCACCAAGUGUGGAUGAACAUUCAAUUGAGAUUAGACGACCAAAAAAGAAGUUGAUUGUGCCAAGCAGCGUGUUGGAGAGUAUGAAGCAGCAGCUUCCAUCUUCAAUGCCAUCCUCACCUUCAGGCCAACCAAAGAGCGCGAAGUAUAACUGCUUGUGCUCACCAACCACACAUGCUGGUUCUUUCAGAUGCAGAUACCACAGGAGCUCAAGCAUGACUCGAAGUAGCAUGUCCGUGGGCUCAAAACUCUCCGAGCUAGCUGCUGAAAAAUGACCUGAUGCAUAGCAUGGAUGCUUGAACUUUACUCAAGUAAUGUGCUCCAUCAUUUCAUCUGUGUAAUUAAGCAUGUGAUGGGGACUCAAUUUCUGUCUUUUCUUACUUUCCUUUUAAUCCUUGAUCUUUGUUUACAAUAACUAUGCUGAUCUGAUUCCUAAAGUUGUAAAGGCAUGAAGAAUGCUUAGUUGUACAUUAUUUAUAUAUGUUGGUUACUUCUAAGAUCAA